rnacentral:misc_RNA from 1 species
GUCGUAACAAGGUUUCCGUAGGUGAACCUGCGGAAGGAUCAUUACCACGCGAUCCAAAUCCACAUCCCAGCGCGCGCUGGGGUCGGGGGCGCAAGCUCACGCACUCAGCGCGCCGUGUGAACCUUGGCUGUUGUCCUUGUUCUACACCUAAACCACGUAGCAAACAAAGCACACCACUGACCACACACUUUGCACUUGCGUCGAACCGCGCGUCAAACCGCGGCUCCGCGUGCAAGCCAAAUAUACAACGCUAUACAACUUUUAGCAAUGGAUAUCUUGGCUCUUGC